GAUGAACGCUAGCGGCGGGCCUAACACAUGCAAGUCGAGGGAGAGGUUACCUUCGGGUAACCAAAACCGGCGCACGGGUGCGUAACGCGUAUACAAUCUGCCUUUCACAUAGGGAUAGCCCGAAGAAAUUUGGAUUAAUACCUAAUGGUAUAUAAGAGCGGCAUCGUUUUUAUAUUAAAGCUACGGUGGUGAAAGAUGAGUAUGCGUUCUAUUAGCUAGUUGGAGAGGUAACGGCUCCCCAAGGCGACGAUAGAUAGGGGUUCUGAGAGGGAUGUCCCCCACACUGGUACUGAGAUACGGACCAGACUCCUACGGGAGGCAGCAGUGAGGAAUAUUGGACAAUGGUCGGAAGACUGAUCCAGCCAUGCCGCGUGCAGGAUGAAGGUCCUAUGGAUUGUAAACUGCUUUUGUAAGGGAAGAAUAAGGAGUACGUGUACUUUGAUGACGGUACCUUACGAAUAAGCAUCGGCUAACUCCGUG
rnacentral:rRNA from 1 species